GUUUCUUCUGUAGAGAAACGGGACACUUCAAGAAGGAUUGUCCGAAAAGAAAGGCAUGGUUUGAUAAGAAAGGGAUUCAGUACGAUCCAGCCUAUAAAAGGAAGUGAACAAUACUUGUUCAUGGGAAACAGGAUGAAGGCACAAAUUAAAGGCGUC